GGAAGUGUGCCCGAAAGAUUAAGGACCUCUUUGAUAGAGAGGACAAUAGAGGAUCAAACCCUCUCACUUCCUU
rnacentral:tRNA from 1 species